UUUAUUUGCAUCAGUACAUUCAAACCAUCAUCAGUAGGAUCAUCACCACAUCUCCCUAUUCCAACGUUAUUUACCAAUAUAUCAAUUUUUGCUUCAGUUUUCUUUAAUUUCUCAACAAAAUUCCUAACAGAUUUGAAAGAUGCAAAGUCUACAAGCUCAAGCACAAAAUUUGAGCUUUUUGUU